GAUGAACGCUGGCGGCGUGCCUAAUACAUGCAAGUCGAGCGAACAGACGAGGAGCUUGCUCCUCUGACGUUAGCGGCGGACGGGUGAGUAACACGUGGAUAACCUACCUAUAAGACUGGGAUAACUUCGGGAAACCGGAGCUAAUACCGGAUAAUAUAUUGAACCGCAUGGUUCAAUAGUGAAAGACGGUUUUGCUGUCACUUAUAGAUGGAUCCGCGCCGCAUUAGCUAGUUGGUAAGGUAACGGCUUACCAAGGCAACGAUGCGUAGCCGACCUGAGAGGGUGAGCGGCCAACCUGGAAUCGAGACACGGUCCAGACCCCUACGGGAGGCAGGAGUGGGGAAUCUUCCGCAAUGGGCGAAAGCCUGGCGGAGCAACGCCGCGGGGGUGAAGAAGGUUUUCGGAUCGUAAAACUCUGUUAUUAGGGAAAAAAAAAUGUGUAAGUAACUUUGACCGUUUGGACGGUACCUAAUCAAAAAGCCACGGUUAACUACGU
rnacentral:rRNA from 1 species